rnacentral:rRNA from 1 species
AAAACAUGUCUUUUUGUAAAUAAUAAAAAGUUUAAUUUGCCCACUGAAUUUAUUUAAAGGGCUGCAGUAUAUUGACUGUACAAAGGUAGCAUAAUCAAUAGUCUUUUAAUUGAAGACUUGUAUGAAUGAUUUGAUGAAAUAUAAACUGUCUCUUUAUUAAAAAUAAAAUUUAAUUUUUUAGUUAAAAAGCUAAAAUAAUUAUAAAAGACGAGAAGACCCUAUAGAGUUUUAUAUUUAUUUUAUUUAGAAAUUAUUUAUAUAAUUUAAAUAUAUAAUAAUUUAAAUAUUUUAUUGGGGUGAUAGAAAAAUUAAAUAAACUUUUUUUAAAUUUUAACAUUAAUUUAUGAAAUUAUGAUCCAUAAUUUAUGAUUAAAAGAAAAAAUUACCUUAGGGAUAACAGCGUAAUUUUUUUUUUUAGUUCAAAUAAAAAAAAGAGUUUGCGACCUCGAUGUUGGAUUAAGAUAAAAUUUAAAUGCAAAAGUUUAAAAUUUUUGAUCUGUUCGAUCAUUAAAAUCUUACAUGAUCUGAGC